GGUUUUAUAUUCAUAUAUGAUAUUAGAUUGCAAAUCUAAAGGAGCGAAGGGUUUCGUUAAAGCCU
rnacentral:tRNA from 1 species